rnacentral:lncRNA from 1 species
CCUCUCAUUUAACUACCCUAUGAGAUAGAGACAAGUGGCACAAGACUAUUACAUUUUCUGCUGCAUACUUGAACUGUGAUCCAAAGCUGCCUUUUAAACAAAGAAUAGAAACUUCUUUUGUUCUAAUUACAUUUCAGCAAUCACACUUAUAAACCAACACUCCCUUCUAAGUGUUGUGCUGAAAUGACUCCUAGAGCUUUCCUCAGAUAUUCAAAUCGAUCUCUUGCCAAAGGCUUGGUAAAAAUGUCAGCAAGUUGCUCUUCAUUAAAUAAGUGGUUUGGAAUCAAUCUCACCAUCUUGAAGUGCAUCUCGAAUGACAUGAAACUUUCGAUUGAUAUGUCUAGUUUGGUGAUGAUGAACUGGAUUCUUCGAUAUAGCAAUAGCUGAAGUAUUAUCACAUAGCAAUUUAGUUGGUUCUACUUGUUCUUCCCUAAAGUCUGAUAGUAAACCUCAGCCAAAUAGCUUGUGCAAUAGCUUCUGCUGCACUCAUAUACUCAGCCUCUGCGGUUGAAAGAGCAACACUGCUUUGCUUGAUUGAAGCCCAAGAAAACACACCUGAUCCCAAGUUAAAUGCAUAGCCAGAUGUGCUUCUCAUGUCAUCCUCACUGCCACUCCAAUCACUAUUGCAGUAACCUAUUAACACUGCCCCUUUUCCCUUUUCAUACGCAAUUCCAUAAUUCAUAGUACCUUGAAUGUAUCUCAGCACCUUCUUUGCUGUUCCCAUGUGCUUCUUGGUUGGAUUAUGCAUGAAUCUAGCCAAGAGGCUUGCUGCAAACAUGAUAUCUGGUCUGGUUGCAGUCAGGUAGAGCAAACUCCCCACCAUUUGCCUAUACAAAGUUUCAUCUGCUAGAUCACUUUCAUCCAUUUUUGACAAUUUUUCAUUCACAGCCAGUGGUGUUGCAACAGGCUUGCAAUCCUUGAGUCCAAACUUGUCCAGCAAAGUCUUUGCAUACUUCUUCGGGUGUAAGAAGAUGCAGGUAUCAGUUUGUAGAACUCCAAGGCCAAGGAAGUGAUGAAGCAAUCCUAGGUCAGUCAUCUCAUAUUGCCUCAUCAUCUCAUUCUUGAAUUCAGCCAUCAUUUCUUUUGAACUCCCUGUGUAGAUAAUAUCAUCUACAUAUAGUGACACAAUGAGAAUACCACUUAUAGACAUCUUUGUGUACAAAGUAGCUUCACUUGGACUCCUAUAAAAAUCAGCUUUAGUAAAGUAGGAAUUUAUCUCUUCAUACCAAGCUCUUGGAGCUUGUUUCAAACCAUAUAAGGCCUUUUUGAGCCUAUACACCUUAUCUUCACUUCCUUUUAUCACAAAACCAGAUGGUUGAUCCACAUACACUUCUUCUUUUAGCACUCCAUUAAGAAAUGCCGACUUUACAUCCAACUGAAACAGCCUCCAAUUUCUCUGUGCAGCCAAAGCCACCAAGGUUCUCACAGUAUCAAGUCUUGCCACUGGUGCAAAGGUCUCAUUGAAGUCUAUUCCAGGCUUCUGAGAAUAUCCCUUUGCCACCAGCCAUGCCUUGUUCUUCUGCACAGAUCCAUCCAAGUUCAGUUUUGUCUUAUAGACCCAUUUAACACCAAUGAUUGGUUUGUCAGAUGGUUUAUUCACAAGUUCCCAAGUGUAAUUUUUGUUUAUCAUCAGAAUUUCAUCUUCCAUAGCUUUCUUCCAUGAAUCAUCCAUUGCUGCUUCUUCAAAACUCUCUGGUUCUAUGAUGCACAUAUUGCAUUUCUCAUGGAUUUCUGCAAUGCUUUUGUACUUGCGAGGUGUGUGAUCAAAAUCUUGGGAGCUUGGCAUUCUUUCUUGAUCACUGGAUUCAGUACUAAUACCAAAUAUUUCACCUUCUUCACCUUGUACUUCAGGAUUACUGCUGUUUUCUUCUUGUCCUUGCUUACUUGCAGGUAUUUCAGCAAUUGGAAUCUUCACACUUCUUUCUUUCUGUGUAUUCCAAUCCCAACAUGCAUCUUCAUUGAACACAACAUCCCUAGACACAAUUAUCUUUUCAGUUUCAAGACUAUAAAGUCUAUACCCCUUUUCACAGCUUCCAUAGCCUAAGAAAAUACACAUUUUGCUUAUCAAAUCCAGCUUCUGCCUUUAUUGACUUGGAAUAUGAGCAUAGCACAAUGAACCAAACACUUUCAGAUGCUUGACUCCAGGCUUUCUUCCACUAUAAGCUUCAAAUGGUGUUCUCUUAUUCAAAGCUUUGGUUGGACACCUAUUCAAAAUAUACACUGAUGUAUUAACUGCUUCAGCCCAAAAAUCAAGAGGGAUCUUCUUCUCAAGUAACAAGCACUUUGCCAUUUCCACAAUAGUCCUGUUCUUUCUCUCUGCUACACCAUUUUGCUGUGGUGUAUAUGGAGUUGUUAGCUGCCUUUCUAUGCCUAUAUCUGCACAGAACCUAUCAAAUUCCACUGAGGUGUAUUCUCCUCCUCGAUCACUUCUAAGCUUCUUUAAUUUAUAGCCACUCUGCAGUUCCACAGUAGCUUUGAAUCUCUUGAAUACACUCAGUGUCUCAGACUUUUGUCUUAAGAAAUAGACCCAACACAUUCUUGUGUUAUCAUCUAUGACAGUGAGAAAAUAUCGAUUUCCAGCUUUUGUAGUUUGCAUUGGACCACAGAUAUCACUGUGUACAAGCUCUAGAGGAGUUGAUGCUCUAGUAGUAGCUUCCUUUGGAAAUGACUCUCUGCACUGUUUGCCUAGAAUAUAGCCCUCACAUACUUCUGUAACAACUGUAAUUUCUGGCAAUCCCACAACCAUUUCUUGCUCUUGUAGUAAUUUCAGACUACUCAAAUUUAGAUGCCCCAGUCUUCUAUGCCAUAUUGCAGUAGAGUGACAAACACUAGCCUUGUGGGCAAGAUGUAUUUCAGCCUGCAAUUUCAUUGGAAAACUUCGAUUUCCUCUCAUUUGUAUCCUUGCAAUCAAAUUGGAAUAAGAACUGUCAUUAUAAAUCUCCACCUUGUGAUCUCCAAACACAAAGUAGUAACCAUGCUCUAUCAUCUGGCCCAGACUGAGUAAGUUUUCUUUCAAACCGGGCACAAGCAUAACUUAUUUGAUGUAUUUCUUGCCCACUUUGGUUUCAACCACAAGACUGCCCUUACCAGUAACUUCAACAAGCUGUCCAGUUCCCAUUUCAACUUUUGCAAACACAUUUCUGUCAAUGUCAACAAGUAGAUCCUCUCUUCCUGUCAUAUGAUUGCUACAUCCACUGUCCAAGUACCAUACCUCAUCACCUCCUUUUAUACUAGCAUCAGUUUUAUUGCUAGCAUAAAACAUAGUUGGAGUAGCAUCUACUUGGUUGGCAUAAUUGACUUGCUGUGCUGGUUUCUUACUAUAACAAUCUUUGGCUAUGUGUCCAAAUUUGUCACAGUUGAAACACUUUGGUUUGCCCUUGAAUCGACACUCUCCAAAGUGUAAUUUGCCACAGUGCUUGCAAGGAUUUUUAGCACCAUCAUUUGUUUUGUUAUCCCACUUCUUGCCUUUUGUUUUCCAACUCUUAUUUUGCUUAGAAUUUUGAUCACCAGCUUUAACUGAUUUGGCAUCCACACUGAGACUAGCAAAUGCCUUCUCAGUUUUGUUUUCAGAAUGUCUGUCCAGCCUUAAUUCAAAACUUUUCAAUGAGGCUACUACCUCCUGUACUUCAAUUACAUUCAAAUCUCUCGAAUGCUCAAUAACUGAGCAGAUAGAAUCAUAGGCAGAUGGCAGACUAAUGAGCAAUUUUUGAACAACCCUUUCCCUAGGCAAUUCCUCCCCAUAACUUCUCAUUUGAUUUAUCAAAUCAAACAGUUUAGUAAUGUAAACAGUUAAUGAUUUAUCAUCCUUCAUCCUUGUAUAUUCAAAUUCUCUUCUAAGACUUUGUAAUUUAACACUUCUUACCUGCUUAUCUCCAUGGUAUUCUUGUUGCAGGAUAUUGCAGGCACCUUUUGAUGUCUCCUCAUGAGAGAUUCGUGGGAAUAUCUCAUCUGAAACUGCACCUUGAAUCAAUCCCAGAGCCUUAGCAUCCUUCAUGAGUAUCAUAGCAAAUGAGUCUGUUCCAAUACCACUUGAUUCUUCUUUUUCCUUUUUCUUAGCAUCAGAUUCAUCUGACUUCUUCAUAUCUGUAUUAUCAAAUCCUUCUAUCACCAAAUCCCACAGUCCAUGAGAUUUGAAGAUGGUCUUCAUCCGUAUACUCCAGAAAUCGUAGUUCUCACCAUUGAAAACUGGUGCUCUCAAUUCACCACCACUUGACCCAGCCAUGUUAGACUCAGAUCUCCAAAACUCAAACUCAGCUGCAAACUCUGAUUCCUCACAGCUCUAAACGCCCAGUGUUAUUUGAUCAAACCUGGCUCUGAGGCCAUGUUAACAUAUAUAGACCAUUAUCUUAUAUAUUUAUUUAAUCAUCAGUGUAUUAAAGCUUAUAGAAAUGCAGAGAGAUUGAGUAGAAGAAAGAGGAGAGAAUUUCAGAGAGAGAGAUUGGAGAAGAAGCUAGCUAAGAUUAUAUUAGCUCAGCUCCAAUAUGUCAUGCAUAUAUUGUGCUCUGACAAAACCUUUGGGAAUGGAAUAUUCCUCAUUACAUCAUUCAAUUCUAGCCUCUCAUUUAACUACCCUAUGAGAUAGAGACAAGUGACACAAGACUAUUACAUUUUCUGCUGCAUACUUGGACUGUGAUCCAAAGCUGCCUAUUAAAACAAAGAAUAGAAACUUCUUUUGUUCUAAUUACAUUUCAGCAAUCACACUUAUAAACCAAUAGAAUUCUCUUGGUGUCUUCCAUAUAUUCAAGAAUCUUUGAAAGUUCAUCCAAGCACCAGGUGGAAGAAGCGUAAGUUGGUGACAGAACAAUGAUUGCAAGAUGUGAUUGUUUGAUUGCGGUCAACAGGUCCGGAGAAAUACUUGCUCCUUUUUCAGGCUCUCGGUCGUCCUUAAAUGUUGUAAUUGCUUGCCAGUAGUGCAAUUCGUGGUAUAAAUGAGAUAUAAAACCCCUGCGAGUGUCUUCACCCUGAAACUCAAAAACACAUCAUGCUUCCAUCGAGGAGGAGCCAAUUCAGCUGAAGUAAGAGAUGCAGAGGCUCUUUGGGUGCUCAACCCCAUUGGAGGAAAAAAAAAAAAAAAAAAAACAGUCCC